UACGGAGGGGACUAGCGUUGUUCGGAAUUACUGGGCGUAAAGCGCACGUAGGCGGAUUUGUAAGUCAGGGGUGAAAUCCCGGGGCUCAACCUCGGAACUGCCUUUGAUACUGCAAAUCUCGAGUCCGGAAGAGGUGAGUGGAAUUCCUAGUGUAGAGGUGAAAUUCGUAGAUAUUAGGAAGAACACCAGUGGCGAAGGCGGCUCACUGGUCCGGUACUGACGCUGAGGCACGAAGGCCAGGGAG
rnacentral:rRNA from 1 species